rnacentral:lncRNA from 1 species
UUGGACCAUCACUACAUUCCUAGACUAGUCUCAGCUAUAUUCUCAUUUUCUGAAGAGAACAAUGAAAGAAAAGGGUUAGCUCAACUAGCCCAUUAAAGAAUAUUAUGACUAAGAUAAUGUAGAACAAAUUAUCCUUAGUACUCAACAGGGAAAAAUCUGAAUGGAUACAACAGACAACAAGUUUUAGAUCAACAACUGCAG